AUUGAAAAUGGAGCUGAAUCUAAGAUUAUGGGGCACCUGGGUACCUCACCUGGUUAAGUGUGUGCCCCAUGUACUAAGUCUCAGUCCUUACUGCAGUGGCCGCGGGUUCCAUUC